UGCGGCCGUAACACCGGUUGAUCCUGCCGGACCCGACCGCUAUCGGGGUGGGGCUAAGCCAUGGGAGUCGUACGCCCCGCCGCUGCGGGGCGUGGCGAACGGCUGAGUAACACGUGGCUAACCUACCCUCGGGAGGGGGAUAACUCCGGGAAAGGCGGUCCAGACCAGCUUAUAUAGAAACUUUCUUGAUUAUUAGGAGAGAAACAAUGAAUGACUGAUAUUUAGCUGGAUUAAUAGAUGGUGAAGCAUCUUUCAUUAUUGUAUUUAGAAAAGAUAAGAGAUAUCGUGCUGGUAUAUGUGUUGUUACGAGGUUUAGUUUGCCUCAGAAGAACAAAGCUAUUCUAGAGAAAAUAAAGGAUUAUCUUGGUUAUGGUCAAAUAUAUUAUCAUAAUAAGCAUAAAAUGUGGUAUUACGAAAUAACCUCUCGUAAAGAACUACUUGAUUUAACUAAUAGAAUAUGUAAUAAAUUAUUUAUAAAAAAAUAAAUGUAGUAAGUUCAAGUUUAUUCUCGAAAUUCUUAUCAAUAAAAACAAACUCGAUACCCGAGACAUUUAUUUCUUGAAAAAGGUCUGGACCGCCCCCGAAACUGGAGAUAAUCCCCCAUAGGGGAGGAGGCCUGGAAGGGUUCCUCCCCGAAAGGGCUCGGCGGGGGUUAUCGCUGCCGAGCCGCCCGAGGAUGGGGCUGCGGCCCAUCAGGUAGUUGGCGGGGUAACGGCCCGCCAAGCCGAUAACGGGUAGGGGCCGUGAGAGCGGGAGCCCCCAGAUGGGC
rnacentral:rRNA from 1 species